CUUGUUGCUUCGGGGGCGACCCUGCCGUUUCGACGGCGAGCGCCCCCGGAGGCCUUCAAACACUGCAUCUUUGCGUCGGAGUUUAAGUAAAUUAAACAAAACUUUCAACAACGGAUCUCUUGGUUCUGGCAUCGAUGAAGAACGCAGCGAAAUGCGAUAAGUAAUGUGAAUUGCAGAAUUCAGUGAAUCAUCGAAUCUUUGAACGCACAUUGCGCCCUUUGGUAUUCCGAAGGGCAUGCCUGUUCGAGCGUCAUUUCACCACUCAAGCCUAGCUUGGUAUUGGGCGCCGCGGUGUUCCGCGCGCCUCAAAGUCUCCGGCUGAGCUGUCCGUCUCUAAGCGUUGUGAUUUCAUUAAUCGCUUCGGAGCGCGGGCGGUCGCGGCCGUUAAAUCUUUCACAAGGUUGACCUCGGAUCAGGUAGGGAUACCCGCUGAACUUAAGCAUAUCAA
rnacentral:rRNA from 1 species